CCGGGAGACACACGGCGGGUGCUAACGUCCGUCGUGAAGAGGGAAACAACCCAGACCACCAGCUAAGGUCCCCAAAUCGUGACUAAGUUGGAAAGGAUGUGGGAAGGCCAAAAACAACCAGGAGGUUGGCUUAGAAGCAGCCAUCCUUUAAAGAAAGCGUAACAGCUCACUGGUCUAAAUAAGCCGUCCUGCGCCGAAGAUGUAACGGGGAUCAAGUCACGUACCGAAGCUGUGGGUGCGUAUUUAUACGCGCGGUAGCGGAGCGUUCCGUAAGCCUGCGAAGGUGCACUGUAAGGUGUGCUGGAGGUAUCGGAAGUGAUCAUGCUGACAUGAGUAGCGAUAAAGAGUGUGAGAAACACUCUCGCCGAAAAUCCAAGGGUUCCUGCGCAAGGCUAAUCCGCGCAGGGUGAGCCGGUCCCUAAGGCGAGGCCGAC
rnacentral:rRNA from 1 species